rnacentral:rRNA from 1 species
GACGAACGCUGGCGGCGUGCUUAACACAUGCAAGUCGAACGGAAAGGCCCUGCUUUUGUGGGGUGCUCGAGUGGCGAAAGGGUGAGUAACACGUGAGUAACCUGCCCUUGACUUUGGGAUAACUUCAGGAAACUGGGGCUAAUACCGGAUAGGAGCUCCUGCUGCAUGGUGGGGGUUGGAAAGUUUCGGCGGUUGGGGAUGGACUCGCGGCUUAUCAGCUUGUUGGUGGGGUAGUGGCUUACCAAGGCUUUGACGGGUAGCCGGGCUGAGAGGGUGACCGGCCAGAUUGGGACUGGGAUAAGGCACGGACCCCUACGGGAGGCAGCAGUGGGGAAUAUUGCACAAUGGGCGGAAGCCUAAUGCAGCAACGCCGCGUGCGGUAUGACGGCCUUCGGGUUGUAAACCGCUUUCGCCUGUGACGAAGCGUGAGUGACGGUAAUGGGUAAAGAAGCACCGGCUAACUACGUG